GACGAACGCUGGCGGCGUGCUUAACACAUGCAAGUCGAACGGAGCACCCUUGACUGAGGUUUCGGCCAAAUGAUAGGAAUGCUUAGUGGCGGACUGGUGAGUAACGCGUGAGGAACCUGCCUUCCAGAGGGGGACAACAGUUGGAAACGACUGCUAAUACCGCAUGACGCAUGACCGGGGCAUCCCGGGCAUGUCAAAGAUUUUAUCGCUGGAAGAUGGCCUCGCGUCUGAUUAGCUAGAUGGUGGGGUAACGGCCCACCAUGGCGACGAUCAGUAGCCGGACUGAGAGGUUGACCGGCCACAUUGGGACUGAGAUACGGCCCAGACUCCUACGGGAGGCAGCAGUGGGGAAUAUUGGGCAAUGGACGCAAGUCUGACCCAGCAACGCCGCGUGAAGGAAGAAGGCUUUCGGGUUGUAAACUUCUUUUGUCAGGGAAG
rnacentral:rRNA from 1 species